AUUGAACGCUGGCGGCAUGCCUUACACAUGCAAGUCGAACGGCAGCACGGGGGCAACCCUGGUGGCGAGUGGCGGACGGGUGAGUAAUGCAUCGGAACGUGCCCUGAAGUGGGGGAUAACGCAGCGAAAGCUACGCUAAUACCGCAUAUUCUGUGAGCAGGAAAGCAGGGGAUCGCAAGACCUUGCGCUUUGGGAGCGGCCGAUGUCGGAUUAGCUAGUUGGUGGGGUAAAGGCCUACCAAGGCGACGAUCCGUAGCGGGUCUGAGAGGAUGAUCCGCCACACUGGGACUGAGACACGGCCCAGACUCCUACGGAGGCAGCAGUGGGGAAUUUUGGACAAUGGGCGAAAGCCUGAUCCAGCCAUGCCGCGUGAGUGAAGAAGGCCUUCGGUGU
rnacentral:rRNA from 1 species